CUGGCGUGUUUCACUCAUACAGAGGGCAUCGGGUCCCACCCUGUCACUCAUUUCAUCGUCUAAAAUGUAAUCAUGAGUGUUUGCUUCGAGCCAGGGACAGUGCUGCUGCAGGGGACCCAGCUGGGACCAAGGCAGACUGUCUCUCCCCUCCUGGGAUUUACAGGGUCAUGGCUCUGAAACAUUCUGUAGUGUUCUUUGGACACGAGUUUUCCCUGGAGAUCGCUUUCUGCAGGCCUCUUGGUCCUGACUGUGGCUUCUUUUCAGAGCCUGCCAUUCGCUGCAAGGUUGAACACCCCCAUGGGCCCUGGACGAACUGUCGUCGUUAAAGGAGAAGUGAAUGCAAAUGCCAAAAGCUUUAAUGUUGACCUACUAGCAGGAAAAUCAAAGGAUAUUGCUCUACACUUGAACCCACGCCUGAAUAUUAAAGCAUUUGUAAGAAAUUCUUUUCUUCAGGAGUCCUGGGGAGAAGAAGAGAGAAAUAUUACCUCUUUCCCAUUUAGUCCUGGGAUGUACUUUGAGCCCCAUAUUGAUAGGAAUUUAACCAGGAAGCUUGUCUCAG
rnacentral:sRNA from 1 species